AGGUCCAAGAAUAUUAGUCAAUGCUCGAAAGAGUGACCUAGCUAACUGAAAUCCUAAAAAUUUGAAAACCAAAUUAAUAGGAUAAGGAUGUGAAAAAAUGAUAUUACCAUUAACUUGGAUAAAUUUAUUUCUCAGCGCCUUGUCUUUUCGAGGCAAGCGAGUGCUGAUUAUGUAAGUUUUUUUAUAGUUAUUACCUUAUAGUGCUGUCCAAUGCUCGUGCCAGAAGACUCGGCAAUGCGAGUAGCGCAAACGUUAAUCGUCUUAUGCAGGCGUAAAGGGUGUGUAGGCGGAAUGAAACUUAUAAAAAAUAAGAAGAAAACUAGAAUCAGAUUGGGGAUAGUCAGAAUAAUACUUUAUCAUGGGGCUAAAUCCAGAUAAAUAAAGGGGAAUACUAAUUGGUGAAAACUUUCUAUCUACUAAUGAUUGACGCUGAGAAACGAAGGUAGGGACAGAAAAUAGGAUUCGAUACCCAGAUAUUCCCUACUGUCAACGAUGAAUGGUGGCUGUUAGUUAGAGAACUAGUGGCCGAUGUUAACGCGAUAACCAUUCCGCCUUGCGAGUACGGGCCGCAAGACUGAAAAUCAAAAAAAUUAGUCGGUCUCCGAGCAAACGAAGUGAACAUGGUAUUUAAUUUCGAUAAAUCGGCA
rnacentral:rRNA from 1 species